GGCAGGCACAGUUCUGGCAAAGUUCUCCUAACCACAAUGGAAAGAUGAAUGAAACUCAAGCUGUGGCCUGGUAAGGCUUCAGAGGACUAGAAAGUGAGUUUGUGAGAAUGAAUGAAUAUGCAACAUAUCUCUGUAAUCCUGGAACCUGAGAUGGGACCAAACACCAGACUGAGACUUUGUAAACAGAGGGAAAUGUGAGCUGUGACCAAUCAGGACACUGCAAUUCAUUCAAGCUGCCGGGAUUGGCUGAUGGAUCAAAUAGCAGCAGCCAUAAGCUGGUCCAAGGCCACCACCCUGGCAUGGCACAGCCCACACUGGAAUGGACCCUCCCACAUCAACCAUUAGUCAAGAAAAUACCCCUACAGAUUUGCCCACUAUCCAAUCUGUUACCAGCA